ACAAUUCUAUUUUGUUCAAAACGAGGAAUAAUGAUGUGCUUUUUAGCUCGACUAUAUAUUUAUAUAUAUAUAUAUAUAUAUAGUGGAGCUAUCUUACUCACCCCGGCGUCGGCGUUCCCGUUGGCCAAUGUUAAAGUUUGCGUACCACCUCAAAUAUUUUCUAUAUCCCUUGACAUAUUGCUUUUAUAUUUUGAAUACUUCUUUACCAACAUGACCCCAACCUAUAAACAAGAGCAGACAACUGUAUCAAUCAUUUUGUAAGAAUAAUGGUCCUUUUUCCACUUAAAAUUUGCAUAUUAUUGAUAAAUCUAUGUUAAAGUUUGCGUACCACCUCAAAUAUUUUCUAUGUACCUUGUCAUAUUGUUUUUAUAUUUUGCAUACUUCUUUACCAACAUGACCCCAAUCUAAAAACAAGAGCAGACAACUGUAUCAAGCUUUUUGUAAGAAUUAUUGCCCUUUUUAGCUCACUUGUCACGAAGUGACAAGAUGAGCUUAUGUGACUGUGUGAUGUCCAGCGUCCGUUGUGCGUGUGUGCGUGCGUGUGUCCGUCAACAAUUUGUUUGUGUAGACAGUAGAGGUCACAGUUUUCAUCCAAUCUUUAUGAAUUUUAGUCAGAAUGUUUAUCUUGAUGAAAUCUGGGUUGGGAUUGUAUUUGGGUCAUCUGGGCUUAAAAACUAGGUCACUAGGUCAAAUAAUAGAAAAACCUUGUGUAGACAAUAGAGGUCACAGUUUUUAUCCAAUCUUUAUGAAAUUUGGUCAGAAUGUAUAUCUUGAUAAAAUCUGGGUUGGGAUUGUAUUUGGGUCAUCUGGGGUCAAAAACUAGGUCACUAGGUCAAAUAAUAGAAAAACCUUGUAAAAACCUUGUGUAGACAAUAUAGGUCACAGUACAGUAACAUAACAUAACGUAACAUAAACAAAGUAAUUUAUAACUAUAAAACAAGGCCAAGUUUUUUUGGAUUUAUUCAUCCUUUUCUUUCAUUUAUAUUUUCUGUAUAGAAACUAUUAUUGUUAACUUUCUGUAAAAGUGCAACGCUAAGGUCGUCCGCCGUGGAAAAAUUCUAUUUAUAAACGGAUUGACCUACUUGUAAUUCUUAAUAAGAAAUUUCGGCCAAUCAUCGCCAUCGUUUUAAAAGUAUAUCAAAGAAUAAAAACGCAGCUUUUUAACAGCGUUAGGCUCAGCCAGUGUAAAGCUAAUUUUUAAACUACUAGAUUUUUAUUAAAGCACCGCACCAACACUGCAAAGUUUUCUUUUUGUAUUAAUGGUACAGCCCAGUAAAAUCGGGCUGUCCAUUUUAUAGCCGUUUUCGGCUUUUUUAUGCAGAGUUCUAUGUUAAGCAGUGUGCUCGGGCAAUGGUUUAUAACCGAAGUCCCGAGGGUAAACAAUCCCAUAAGUCGGCGAAAUUGUCGGAAAUUGCGACUGCCAUUAUGGGGACCAUAGGCAAUAAGCGUCCUUUGGACUCUGACGAAUCUAAUGACACGGUCUAAAAAAUCAAAUCUGUUAAUAGAUCAUUCAAAGAUGUUUGGCUUUCGGAAUUCAAGUUUUUUGUUUUGAAAUUUAGCAUAUUUAAUGUUGUUUAUCUCAGAUCACAAAAAGGCCUCACAAGCUUGAAGUCUGAAAACAUCAAUGACAAAUGCGCAGGCUGCAGCAAUAUCCAAAAGUAAAGCGGCUGUAGUGUCGGCUAUGACUAAUAUGUACUUUGCUGCACAACAUACUCUCGCAUCAUCGCUGGUUCCAGACCUGAACAGAUAGUGUGUCUUGCAGGGUGCAACCCAGCUCAAUGACCGAGUUGAAAGUCACACGUCAUAUGAACACAGCUCCAGUGUGUCGGAAUUUCAAAACUGUAUGUCAGACGUUCUGAGGAGUGAUCUUCUCCAGAAGAUACAGACAUCAUGCAAGUACAGUAUCGUGAUUGAUGAGAGUACAGACAUUUCAGUGAAGCAAAAUUUAGUGACCUAUGUUAGACUUUUGGUAACUGAUGAGUUUGGAAUGGCUGAACUUCAAAGAGCAAAUACAGAAAGCAUAUAUGAGAAUGUAGUUAAUUUGCUUGGUAGAAAGGGAAUUGACAUUCAACAUCUCUCAGAAAUUCUAUUAAAAUUGAAAACUUUGAGAACUUGUUGAUUUCGUCCAUAGACAGCCCACCCAUGGAAAAGUUUGAUUUCAAACGUGCUUUCAAGAUUUGGGCUGGAUUGAAGUUGAGGUGGAUUAUGGCCUUCUGCUAAAAUGAAUGUUCAGGAUAUCAUGUGCUCAUGUAAUGUAAAUUUAUCAUGUGCUUAUUUUAUGAACAUGUGCUUGAGUUAUGAUGUGUGUAUAUCUAUAAAUGUUUUGUUGUACUGUUGUUGUUUUUUUGUUAUGCACACAUGAUGUGGAUUAUGGCCUUCUGCUAAAAUGUAUGUUCAGGAUAUCAUGUGCUCAUGUUAUGUAAAUUUAUCAUAUGCUUAUUUUAUGAACAUGUGCUUGAGUUAUGAUGUAUGUACUUCUAUAAAUGGUUUGUUGUAAACUGUUUAUUUUUGUUAUGCACACAUGGUGAUUAUAGUAAUAAACAUAUUAAAGCUU